rnacentral:lncRNA from 1 species
UUAUGAUGUUGGCCCACAACAUCAUAGACAGAUGUUGGUGGGAUGACAGAAGAGGUUGAACGUUCCCACCAAUAUCCUGUUCCAUUCUGUUGCCAUGUGACAGAUAGCAGCAGAGGGGCAGUCUGACAGAAUGGCAUCUGACACUGAAGUGCAGAUGAAGCAAAGAGGUGGAACUGAAUUCCUCCAUGUGGAAAAAAUGUCACCCACUGACAUUCAUUGGCACUUGCUGGGUGUUUAAGGAGACCAAACAGUGGAUGUGAGCCCUGUGAGGCAUUGGGUGGUGCUUAUCAACAGUGGCGACAGUGAGUCACCUCUGCUGGUGCAGAUUUUUAUGAGCACGAUACGCAGGCUCAUGUUCAUCUCCAGCAAAAAUGUGCAGCGAAUGGUGGUGAUGAUGCUGAAAAAGAGUGUUUUGUAGCUGAGAAUUUGCUCUAUCAAAUAAUGUUAUUGUGCUCUUUGCAUCAGUUGUAGUCUCCAUGAAAAUAGAUAGGAGGCAUUUUGGAGCGACCAAUGUCUAUGUGGCCCAAAACUAUUCUUCUUCACUCAAUACAGCCCAGGCAAGCCAAAAGGUUGGACAGCCAUGCUCUAAGGCUUCUGCUCAUCCAGCAGAGACUGCAGUCAUUUCAGGUGAUCUUCGCCUCCUACUGAACCAGAAUAAAAAGGGAAAAGCUUAUAUUCUGACAUCAGGAGCAAUAUUGGACGACUUAGGACUCCUACAUUUCGCCCAUGACUGA